rnacentral:rRNA from 1 species
AUUGAACGCUGGCGGCAGGCCUAACACAUGCAAGUCGAACGAGUGGCGGACGGGUGAGUACUGUCUGGGAAACUGCCUGAUGGAGGGGGAUAACUACUGGAAACGGUAGCUAAUACCGCAUACCAUCAGAUGUGCCCAGCUGGGAUUAGCUUGUUGGUGGGGUAAAGGCUCACCAAGGCGAAGAUCCCUAGCUGGUCCGAGAGGAUGACCAGCAACACGGGAACUGAGACACGGUCCAGACUCCGACGGGAGGCAGCAGUGGGAAAUAUUGCACAAUGGGCGAAAGCCUGAUGCAGACAGGCCGCGUGUAUGAAGAAGGCCUUCGGGUGGUAAAGUACUUUCAGCGGGGAGGCGUUACCCGCAGAAGAAGCACCGGCUAACUCCGUGCCAGCAGCCGCGGUAAUUC